rnacentral:rRNA from 1 species
GACGAACGCUGGCGGCGUGCUUAACACAUGCAAGUCGAACGGAAAGGCCCUGCUUUUGUGGGGUGCUCGAGUGGCGAACGGGUGAGUAACACGUGAGUAACCUGCCCUUGACUUUGGGAUAACUUCAGGAAACUGGGGCUAAUACCGGAUAGGAUCUCCUGCUGCAUGGUGGGGGUUGGAAAGUUUCGGCGGUUGGGGAUGGACUCGCGGCUUAUCAGCUUGUUUGUGGGGUAGUGGCUUACCAAGGCUUUGACGGGUAGCCGGCCUGGGAGGGUGACCGGCCACAUUGGGACUGAGAUACGGCGCAGAAUCCUACGGGAGGCAGCAGUGGGGAAUAUUGCACAAUGGGCGGAAGCCUGAUGCAGCAACGCCGCGUGCGGGAUGACGGCCUUCGGGUUGUAAACCGCUUUCGCCUGUGACGAAGCGUGAGUGACGGUAAUGGGUAAAGAAGCACCGGCUAACUACGUG